AAUCAACACUCCACUCAGACAAUGCCCAGACCUCCAGAAAUCAUGUGUCAAGCUUGGAUUGCCUUAGACAGGUGCAAUUUUAAAACAGCUUUCAUCCUCUUUUCUCUCAUAUUGUCACACUAUGGGUUCUGACUUCUGGCUCCUUUCCUCACAAGAAGCUCACCCAGCUGGAACUCUUAUGGGACCUUGGCACCAGAGACCACCAAUUCCUCUUUGAAGUUUUCUAACAGCAUCAUUGGUAUUUCUGACUUGGCUUUCUUGUAUUUCUCUCACGUUAACAAAACUGGUUGAGCAUCUACCACGGGCUACAUGCUGAGCUACAGGUGCUGUUGAUGAAACUGCCAAAGGAGCUGAAUAUGACUGACAUCUUUGGAAGGAUGAGACUUAGCGUGCCCGUACAGUUGUGUCCAAAUGCUGUCCUUAUCUCCCAAUGGAAAGCCUCACAACAAUUUCCAGCAUUGCCAGCAGCAUUCAGUACAUUCAGAACAGGAUCAUUUCACCCGCAGCUGAACUAGGGCCAUGCCUGGGACAGACAGAGAAUGGCCUUCCAGCAGACAUGCCAAGGAGCAAGCCAGGGUCACUGAGUGAAGAGGAGGGCAGGCCCAUUUGAAGCAACACAGUUUAUCCCCAAACAAGUCACAUGUGUAAUGCAGUGGGAGAGCAGUGCCCUGAAGGAAAAGGUGGCCGGCUGGACUGCCAAGAGAACAGACGUCCGCUGCAAGUAAUAUGAGCCGUCCCCAGGUUCUGCCUCCAUCCUGACGUCCAGUGUUGGAUUCCUCUUCACAUCAACCCCUCUCUGCAGUUAGCCGAGCAUGGUAGAGCAUGCCUGUAAUCCCAGCGACUCAGGAGGCUGAGGCAGGAGAAUCGCUUGAACUUGGGAGACAGAGGCUGCAGUGAGCUGACAUCGUGCCAUUGCACUCCAGCCUGGGCAACAAGAGCGAACUCCGUCUCCAGAAAAAAAAAAAAAUAUGGAUAAACAGAGGCAACCCGAGGAUAAAGCCCUUGUUCAGUGUCACACAUUUCAGUCACUAAAUAAGACAGAAUGGAUGCCAGUAUUCUCAUCCCCUUACAAAUAAAGAGCCUUCAAGCUCUUGCAGUCAACAAGAACUUUUGGAAUGAUUUCACUGCCUAAAAAGGCAGAUACAUAGAUGACAUCCACAAAUAGGAAGAAAAUCAACCUGAACCUGAGUGUGUGGCCUCACUGACUCUAAGCAGUAGAGACAGAAGAAAAGGAAAGUUUUAGCAAAGAAGGUUCUGAAAGAAAAUAAGUAUAGCUAGUUAUUAAGCGCUGUUCUUACACAGUAAAACAAGGGCAAAAUUACUCUUCUUUAAGUACUAAUUCUUAUCUCUUGAUUAAGUCACCUACUCAUUCAUUUAAUAAAUACAUACUGAUUGCCUUCUAUGUGUUGAGCACUCAUCUCUGUAUUGGAAAUAUAAUAUUGACCAAAGUUGACAAUAGUAAUAACAAUAAUAGCUAAUAUAGCAGGUACUAAUGACUGUUUGUUGAGUAAAAUGUCAAAAUUCAGUGUGAACAGCAUUCUGUUUGGGGCUGUAUCCGUUGACUGUAACACAGCUAAUCUAUCUGAAAUUUUCCACUUUGGGCCUCUCUGACAGAAGAAGCUGUGUUGGGCCUGCCUCUAGUUGGCGAUGCAUCCACCAAUGAGAAUGAAUUUAUGGUGGUUCUUCCUGUAAAGGCAGCUGGAACUGACAGCAUUGUGAUUUUCUUUUACUGUUAGUUUUAAAUUACUAGAACCAACUCCAUUACUAGAACCAACUUUACUUCUUUGUUUCCUACUUACCAAAAUAAUAAAAACAACAUGUAAAAUAAAA
ensembl:lncRNA